rnacentral:snRNA from 1 species
CUUCGAUCCGUAUCUUUUUAUAU